rnacentral:rRNA from 1 species
AUUGAACGCUGGCGGCGUGCUUAACACAUGCAAGUCGAUCGGUAACGCGGGGGCAACCCUGGCGACGAGAGGCGGACGGGUGAGGAACGCCUGGGAAUCUGCCUAUCAGCGGGGGACAACACGGGGAAACUCGUGCUAAUACCGCAUACGCUCGACGGAGGAAAGCCGGGGACCGCAAGGCCUGGCACUGAUAGAUGAGCCCAAGCCGGAUUAGCUAGUUGGCGGGGUAACGGCCCACCAAGGCGACGAUCCGUAGCUGGUCUGAGAGGAAGAUCAGCCACAAUGGAACGGAGACACGGUCCAGACUCCUACGGGAGGGAGCAGUGGGGAAUAUUGGACAAUGGGGGAAACCCUGAUCCAGCGACGCCGCGUGGGUGAAGAAGGCCUGCGGGUUGUAAAGCCCUUUCGGUAGGGACGAAAGCUCUCGACCUAACACGUCGGAGGUUGACUUAACCUACAAAAGAAGCACCGGCUAACUCUGUGCCAGCCGCCGCCGUAAUAC